AACAGGUUAGCCAUUAACACAGAAUAAAGAAGGGAGCAGGCAUGGCACCUGCGCCACGCAGAGCAGCAAGGCUGAGCAUGACCACUGGAAAUAAAUAAACAUGGUGCCGACAGCAUCUUUAAAUUAGUAAGACGUUAGCACAAAACAAAAAAGCACAACGACUGAAAAUGCACUUGCUUGUUGUGGUGGGUUGUGCUUGAAAACACCUGAAGCCCACAAGUGGAAACCGCUGGGGACGUUUGUCAGUGGAGUGUGGAGAAAAAGGGACGGAAAAAUCAAGUCUUCUGAGACAGUCCCCUGCGGUGGCCCUGGUCCCUGUGGAAUUCCAGCACAGCAGGAGGGGGAGGGGGAAGCAGUGUGAAGACGGACCCCAGCGGCCCCAGCCAUUUCACUAGCAGCUACUUUCCAC
rnacentral:lncRNA from 1 species